rnacentral:misc_RNA from 1 species
GAUGAAGAACGUAGCGAAAUGCGAUAAGUAAUGUGAAUUGCAGAAUUCAGUGAAUCAUCGAAUCUUUGAACGCACGUUGCGCCCACUAGUAUUCUGGUGGGCAUGCCUGUUCGAGCGUCAUUUCAACCCUCAAGCCUCAGUUGCUUGGUGUUGGGAGCUUAUCUUUGCCGAAAGGCGGACAACUCCUUAAAACUAUUGGCGGAGUCGCGGUGACCCCAAGCGUAGUAAAUUUUUUUUCUCGCUUUAGGUAUCAACGCUGGCUUUCUAGCCGUUAAACCCUCUAAAUCUUUAGUGGUUGACCUCGGAUCAGGUAGGACUACCCGCUGAACUUAAGCAUAUCAAUAAGCGGAGGA